GACGGAGGGUGCUAGCGUUGUUCGGAAUCACUGGGCGUAAAGGGCUCGUAGGCGGCCAACUAAGUCAGACGUGAAAUCCCUAGGCUCAACCUAGGAACUGCGUCUGAUACUGGAUGGCUUGAAUCCGGGAGAGGGAUGUGGAAUUCCAGGUGUAGCGGUGAAAUGCGUAGAUAUUGGGAGGAACACCAGUGGCGAAGGCGGCUCACUGGACUGGUACUGACGCUGAGGCGCGAAAGCGUGGGGAGCAACAGG
rnacentral:rRNA from 1 species